GGAACUCGCCUAAUCAGACCUCUGCAAACAGGCAGGUCUGCGGACGCCAUAGCAACGGCCUGAGUCGCGCAGAACGCGCCGAAUCAGAACGCGCCGAAUCAGCCCACGCCCCAGCAGCAAUCCACGGGACCCCCCCCCCCCCCACACACACCCUCCACUGUACAGCCAUCUGGUUCCACACUACAAAGACGCAGAGGACACCGGACCACCAGACCACUGUACUGGAUCUCUCCAGAACCCAUCUGUUUCUUUCCAUCUUCACUACCCAAGGCCUAGCUACUUCUACAAGAUGACAGCAGCCCCCAGCAGCCUGUCCUGCCUCGUUCUCACUGUCCAUGUUGGGCCAGGCAGAUAUUCUCCGCAUCAGUGGCUCCUCGGUGCCACUAGGACAAACCCAAAGUCGUCCGGUGUACAACAGUCUUCAGCAUCUGGCCUCUGUUUACCGCCACAUCUAAGCCUGCGUCAUCCCCUCUCAACUUCUAGGUCUUAAAUGUGCUCUAACUGCACCCUGAAUGCUUGGCCUUGCUAUAUAGUCCAGGCUGGACUUGAACUCACUGCAUAGCCCAGGGAGUCUUUGAACUCAAAGCAAUUUUCCUGCCUCAGCCUCCCAAGUGCUGGUACUACUGGAAUGCACCAUCAGGCCAAGCACAAGAUAGUUUGUAAGUAGAAAUAUACAAACACAUAGUCUUUGUGAUGUACCGUAUUAGAUCUAUGAGAAGUCCCUUUAAUUCUAGCCCUUUUCUUAGCAAGGUCUUUAAAGAUCAGGAACAGUACAGAGAGAGAGGAAAUCUAGGGGAAAAGUGGUUAAAUUUAAAUGACAAGAAUAUUUACCAUUAGCCACAGCUCCCCAGCGGUGGGAUGAACUGGCCCAGAGGUCUGGAAGGAUCUCUGAGGUAGAAAAUAGUAGUCCCAACCUUUUUCAUUAUUUAAAAAAAAUUGUGGCUCUCUAAAUAUCUAUCAUUGAAUACAUGGAUGACAAAAAGGUGGUGUGAGGCAACACUUUUAAAUACUUUAAAAUUUUACUGAAUUCCAGUGCUAUCUCUCUCCAUUUGGUACAGAAAAUAUGUUUAUUCCUUCCAAAGACAAUAUUUGAUGCAUCUGUGGACUUAAGGGUCUUUUGCAGAAGAUUCUGGCCCACAGAUCAGGAGAUGUCGCUGUGUGAUAAAUCGUCCAUGAAGUAAGCAGAGGUUGGUUUACUUUGUAAGUAAACCAGUUUGAUGAACUUCCCAGUACCAAACCCAGCACUCCAAAGGACUCAAGCCUUCCAAGACCAUGAACUGCUCGUGAGUGACCAAUGACAUCACCAGUUCCAGGAACAUUCUCCUAUCUCUUGACCAAAGAUUACCGAAGAGACCCAAUUGCUAAACUGCUUCUGCUUCAGCACCCACUUCAAGAUGACCCCCUUCCUCUGGUCUCUCAGACUCUCAAAGAAGCACACACCCUAAGCAAAUCCCCUUCUGCCUCUACUGAGAUGCACCUCUGUCCUCCUGGGGUGCCACCUGUCUUGUAACUGGCCACAGCUACACUCCUGGUGAUCCUUUUCUAGUGGGUUUUAUCAGAAUGACUGAAGUGUUUCUUCACCUAUGAGGCCAAUUUGUAGACAGAUGAUAUACAGUCAUGUCAUGCAACACAUAAUGAUGCCUUUGUCAGUGACAGAUCACAUAUACAAUGGUGGUAUAGUAAGGUCACACCAAUAUUGCCUAGAAAUAUUAGUGUCUUAAUUUGUUUGACAUUUCCAACAACAAAACUACCUAACAAUACAUUUUUCAGAACAAAUUCCCAUCAAGUGCGUC
ensembl:lncRNA